GAGUAACACGUGAGCAAUCUGCCUUUCAGAGGGGGAUACCGAUUGGAAACGAUCGUUAAUACCGCAUAAUAUAAUUGAACCGCAUGAUUUGAUUAUCAAAGAUUUAUCGCUGGAAGAUGAGCUCGCGUCUGAUUAGCUAGUUGGUAAGGUAACGGCUUACCAAGGCGACGAUCAGUAGCCGGACUGAGAGGUUGAUCGGCCACAUUGGGACUGAGACACGGCCCAGACCCCUACGGGAGGCAGCAGUGGGGAAUAUUGCACAAUGGAGGAAACUCUGAUGCAGCGAUGCCGCGUGAGGGAAGAAGGUUUUAGGAUUGUAAACCUCUGUCUUCAGGGACGAAAAAAGACGGUACCUGAGGAGGAAGCUCCGGCUAACUACGUGCCAGCAGCCGCGGUAAUACGUAGGGAGCGAGCGUUGUCCGGAAUUACUGGGUGUAAAGGGAGCGUAGGCGGGAUCGCAAGUCAGAUGUGAAAACUAUGGGCUUAACCCAUAAACUGCAUUUGAAACUGUGGUUCUUGAGUGAAGUAGAGGUAAGCGGAAUU
rnacentral:rRNA from 1 species